AGAUAACCCCUUGACCGAUUCUAAUGAAAUUUGUUGCACUUGAGAUAGUUCAAUUCGAGUGACUGUUGGAAUUAGAAUUUCGAUUUGCGCUCCUG
rnacentral:lncRNA from 1 species